ensembl:lncRNA
AUGUAUCGCGGGUGGGGGCGUUACAUGCAAACAAAACACAGCGAGCGUUUCUUUGCUUUGUGCUCUACUGAUACAGAUGCUCGUGAACGCACGUGCGUUAAAAGUUUGUUUAGAACCCAGAGCGAUGGAAACGUGCGCGCUAUGCUUCUGCUGAGACACGCAGAAGAACUGCGCGGUCACGUACAACAACGCCCCGAGGCUCCUCCCACUUCGCGCGCUCUGAGCGUGGAUAGGCGUGAUCGUGGCGUGAAGCGCACUGGAGUUUGUGUCCACGCACGCACACAGACGCGCUCAGGAAACCCAGUCAGCGAGUGUGCGCACACAUGGUUGGUGAUCUGUGGGUUUCCCAUGAGCUCUUGGCUCCUGUGGCGUUUUCACUUUCACUUUCCUGUAAAUCAAAGCUCAUCCUAUUAGUCAGCUUGUAGCCGGAGAUCAAGGUUGUCUCGGCGGGUGAGGAGGAACUCCAUGGGUGUGUCCAUGAGCUCAUACAACACACAGUGCUUUACACGGGAUCAUUAAACUGCCUGUGUGUGUGUGUGUGUGUGUGUUUAGAGCGCCUGACAGUGACAGACUGCACUGAUAACCUGUGCAUGUUUGGAUCUGUUUGCUCAACUAUGUCUUAGACUCAACAUUUUUCUAUCAAAUUUUUUAAGUGUUUGGACUCUGAGCAGGAAAAACACACAUGCUGAACAUUCCAGAGAAAGAGUUGAGAAAGACUUUGAUCUGAGCAAAACUGAACACUAAUAUCACUUAUUGUACAACCUUGCUGCUUGCAUGAGCAAUAACAGAAAUAAGAUACAUGCACAUAACACUAAAGAUGUGCAAAGCUAAAUAUUUUUGAGGUCAACUUUUUGGCUGACUGGACUGGUCUUCAGAAAGCCCAGCAUAAUUUUUUUUGUGUGUUCACCAAUUGGAAAGGCUUUUUGUAAAAUGCAUUUGUACAUUCAAAAGUGGGCUAUAGUUUUCAAGUAGCAUAUUUUGCUGCUUUUUUUUUUUUUACAUGUAUUUUGUCUUCCUGCAGCAAAAUGUGUGUGUGUGUGUGUGUUAAACUGAUAAAAAAGGAGGGUAAAGACUUAUAUUUUUACAAAAGAUUUCUAUUUUUAAUAGACUUCUGUUCGUUCUUUUUGACAUUUAAUUUGCUCCCCGUCUCACCUCACUGAUGCUUAUGUGUUGAGUGGUUUAAGUUUAGUUGACAUUGACUGAUUUCUGAUCUGUUUUCUUGCAGAUUGUGUCUCGUGAGCUGUCACUGAGCUGAGAGACCCGAGAGGAGAGCUGGCGGAGCCGUAACAGAGACUAAAUC